rfam:Marine metagenome ctg_1101668673415, whole genome shotgun sequence.
AGCAGCACGGGAGAGCGACCCGUUAGCUGGCAGAUAAUCCAGUCCUUAUCCCACGGCAUCUGGGACGAGGGCUGGCUUUCUGCGCUUAAUCCCGUCUUCCAAUAAUGGGAAAGUUUCAGUGCAUCGCACCGAAGUGCAUAACGCUUCACCAAGAUUGUGGAACGGCAACCGCAUCGCUCGGGGAGAACGCAGUUCUCCUCGCGGUUCCGUCGUUCCA